rnacentral:rRNA from 1 species
CAUGGCUCAGGAUGAACGCUAGCGGGAGGCCUAACACAUGCAAGCCGAGCGGUAGAGAUCUUUCGGGAUCUUGAGAGCGGCGUACGGGUGCGGAACACGUGUGCAACCUGCCUUUAUCUGGGGGAUAGCCUUUCGAAAGGGAGAUUAAUACCCCAUAAUAUAUUUAUCGGCAUCGAUAGAUAUUGAAAACUCCGGUGGAUAGAGAUGGGCACGCGCAAGAUUAGAUAGUUGGUGAGGUAACGGCUCACCAAGUCUACGAUCUUUAGGGGGCCUGAGAGGGUGAUCCCCCACACUGGUACUGAGACACGGACCAGACUCCUACGG